rnacentral:lncRNA from 1 species
AUGUACUCCAUCUCCCUGCUCACCCAGAACCAUUUAUUUCCCCUUCCAUGCACCAGUUCUCCACCUGUACAACAGAAGAGACACCACUGCCUCCAUCCACCUCAACCAGACAUCAGGCAGCAGCAUCCCAUGCUCACACCGCAUCCCUGGGAUCCAAUCCCAGAAGCCUCCAACAAGGCGGAGGAAUUUGGGAGGCAGCAUCACCUCCUCGCACUGCAGCAGCCACCCAGCAGACCUGCAUCCAUCGCCCCGGCCCUGCUGAGCAGCGCAGCUUCUAGAGGGCUCAGAGAGCAGCAAGGAUUUGCAGAACACUGCAGGGAGGUAUCCAGGCUGGGACAAGCCCUGGAGUGGAGCUGCAGAAGGGGAGCAGCCAGCAGCAGUGGUGCCUGCAGCACAGGGCAGCAGAUCCCUGCGGGCUGCUCACAGCACUGCAGCAACAGGCGGUGGAAAUGCUACGAGCAAACCGUAUGGCAUAGCAAGGGGAAAAUAAAUUAUAUACAUGCAUACACACGCGGAUAUAUUUAUAUACGCAUUGAUAUUUUUUUUUUUUUUUUUUUUUUAAAAAAAAAAAAGAGAGAGAGAGGGAGAAACAGUCAGCGAGAAUGCCGGGAACUAAGGGAAGCUGAGAGGGUGCACGCAGCUCCCGGGGCACCUCAGCAGCGACGGAAGGCCCCGGGGAAGGGGGAAUUCCUUACACACGGCUCCACCCCACCGCUUUCUGCCGCACAACAAUGGCAGAGCGAAGCGGUACCUCCCCGCAGCCGCUCAGCACGGGGCCGGAGCGCCGCACGAGCGGAUACGGCGAUGCUCAACGCAGAACGCUGCGGAGCACAGAGCCCCGCACGGCGGCGGGCGGCUCGGGGGAGAGGCAGCACCCCGCGGAGCAGCGCUCGGGGACGGACACCGCAGGACCACGCCGGGCUGGGAGCGGGGGGAGGCGGGGGUGUCAGCCCCUCCCGUUCGCCGUUUAACGAUUCAGGUUUUCUGAUCUUGGAAGGAAUCUCUGACCAUCUGGAUUUGGACUCCGCAAAGGAAAUCAGCCUUCCUGCCUCGGGGAACCUGUUGAAUUUGCAUCCCCUUUGGGCUCCAUCUGAAAUUGAGGGGAGGCUCUUCCAGCUUGCACACAGCUGA